rnacentral:tRNA from 1 species
GGUAAAGUGGCCGAAUGCUAGGCGGUAGGUUGUAAACCUACUAACAUUGGUUUAAUUCCUUUCUUUAUCA